AACUCGCAUUUGUUGAUAUUUUGGAGAUCAAAGAUAUCAACUUUCGAAUUACCCGCCACAGUUCGUAGCCGUUCGUAGCCAGCUUCGGAAUCGAUCAUUUGCAUAAUACAUGAAUGAAGCGCCCGUAUGUAAACAACCGAUACUGGCGAUAGCGACUUUCAUUCAGCUACCAACAUGAUCAAAAGAAAUGUUUCUACCAGUUACUCUUGAGUCACCUCCAAGCAUUCCCUUAUCCCAAAUUGAUAUUAAAAGAGAAUGUUGAUGAGCCUGAUCCGUCGAUUCAAAUACCAUAACACAGCCAACCCCAAAAAAAAACAAAAGCAAACAAGUGAGCAAGCUGACAAAGCUGCAACUUCAGGGAGCAAUUAUAAGGGUCAUCAAGAUGGAGCCAGGAUUCAUGAUGCUCGUAUUAGAGGUGCUGGACCAGAGUCUGAGUAAGGGAGUAGAACUCCAAGCUGGUUUGAGUGUGCUUCAACUGCCGGGACAUUUCAAUGCAGAGUUAAAAAGUUUGUUGUCGCCGGGAGGCCAGUCUUUCUCAAACUGCUGUAAGAACCUUAUAGAAACUAAAAUUCAGUAUAGAUCUAAGACAUGAGUGUACC